UGCUCUGCCGAAGUCCCCGAUUCACAAAAAUAAAAGCGGAUAUUGUUUCUCCCACGUUCUCCUAAACCCACCUUUGAAUCUCAUCUCCCCUCAAUCUUUCCUCCCGCACCCUUGCCUUCCAGAGUCUCCUUGCUGUUGGAAUCCUCUAAGAAAAUCUCUUUUUAUAUUCCUUGGUCGACAGGAGCAAAAUGCAGGGAAUUGAUGUGAGAACUGUCAUCGCAAUGUAAUUCUGGUCCAAUUUCACUUUCUAAAGAAGUUUCGAUGGAUUUCCAGUGAGUAUCCAGCUGACUGUAUAUUGGAUGAGGAAGGAAUCAUGUGCCUUUAUCACGGUGAUCUCAGUGCCUAGAAGGGUUGCGGACAAGGUCUCUCCUUAUCUGCUGCUGAGAAAUGAUUUUGUUGACUCGUGGCCAUAACCACGUUUCUCUCUCCCUGGGAAAGCUUAAAACCGAAUUCAAGGAACGCAAAGCUGGAAAAAGACGUAAUGCAUCACAAUCCAGAUGAAAAACUAAUAACCCGUGAAUAGUGUGACGAUGACAUCUCCC